GGGGAAUAUUGCACAAUGGGCGAAAGCCUGACGCAGCGACGCCGCGUGAGGGAUGAAGGCCUUCGGGUCGUAAACCUCUGUCAGGAGGGAAGAACCGCCAUGGUGCUAAUCAGCCAUGGUCUGACGGUACCUCCAAAGGAAGCACCGGCUAACUCCGUGCCAGCAGCCGCGGUGAAUACGGAGGGUGCAAGCGUUAAUCGGAAUCACUGGGCGUAAAGCGCACGUAGGCUGUUUGGUAAGUCAGGGGUGAAAUCCCGCGGCUCAACCGCGGAAUUGCCCUUGAUACUGCUGGACUUGAGUUCGGGAGAGGGUGGCGGAAUUCCAGGUGUAGGAGUGAAAUCCGUAGAUAUCUGGAGGAACAUCAGUGGCGAAGGCGGCCCCCUGGGAUAACACUGACGCUCAUGCACGAAAGCGUGGGGAGCAAACA
rnacentral:rRNA from 1 species